rnacentral:lncRNA from 1 species
UGGGCGACCAACCAAAGGGAGCUAUCUUUUUCUCUCAAUUUCUCUCGCUUUCUCUCAUGUUCUAUCUGUAUGUUUAGAGUGUUUUAAACUCUCAAGAAAUGUAUAUAAAACUUUGAAUGCUUCGAUCAUGCUUCGUCAAGCUCACGACUUGGUCUCUUUUCCUCUCUAAAGAUUUUUGCUCUGAGUUCUCAACCAUUCGGGCAUUAUAUAGACAUACAGCUGACCUUGUUUUCUAGGAGCCUCUAUUGUUAUGCUUUGGACAUGACUCACUGGAGAUGGGUUUCUUUGUUUUUUUCUGAUUCGGGUCUGUUUGGCUGCCGAGAAAGUAGACGAUGAUGAGAAGGAAAGAAAUAGAAGUGGGUUUUUUUUUGAGUUUUUAGGGGAAGUGAAAGUGUUCGGUUAACUAGGUCUUUUUGUUUCUCUCCGCUGAGACUUACAGACCAUUUAGAACUACUUAGAUCCAAACAAAUCUGCCCUCUUCUUCUUUGGACAUGGUCCGGUUUUUGCUCGUUUGAUUAAUUUUGACCUACUCGAGAUGGUUUUUUUUUUGUUUUUGGCUCUAUAGGGGUGCUGAGAAAAUGUAGAAAUGGGAAGGAAAAAAAAAUUGAAACGGGUUUUUCUUGGUGUAGCAUCGUGGGUUUUUAGGAACUAGAAGUGUUUACUAAAAUGCUUCUAAGUACGUUUUUGUUUUCCUGGGGCUUCUUGGCAACCAAACAGAGCGAAUUUAUAGAUGGAAGUUGGUGUGUUGUUUUUUCAAAGUUUGAGCAACUCUUUUGGUUGCUGAGAAUGCCUUUGGAAUAGGGACACUUUUAAGUUUUAAGUCUAUUCUUAGGUACUCUCCCUCUCUUUGUAUGCUCACUUCCUCCUUGGAAGCUUCUUACAUCAAUUACAAUCAAAUUCUUUUCUAUUAAACCCUUUCUUCCUUUUCUUCUAUUUUCUUAGCAACCAAACGGAAAACAAAAAUAGAAUGAAAAAGAGGGGAUGAGGAAGUGAGCAUUCAAAGAGAAGUACUGCCCCUGUUGCUUGAUAUUCUUCUUUUUAUAUUUUUUAAUAUUAAAUGUUGGAAAUAAGAAUAGACUUAAUGAAUCUUUGCCAUCUUCUCUAAAUUUUUGCUA